GACGAACGCUGGCGGCGUGCUUAACACAUGCAAGUCGAACGGAAAGGCCCUGCUUUUGUGGGGUGCUCGAGUGGCGAACGGGUGAGUAACACGUGAGUAACCUGCCCUUGACUUUGGGAUAACUUCAGGAAACUGGGGCUAAUACCGGAUAGGAGCUCCUGCUGCAUGGUGGGGGUUGGAAAGUUUCGGCGGUUGGGGAUGGACUCGCGGCUUAUCAGCUUGUUGGUGGGGUAGUGGCUUACCAAGGCUUUGACGGGUAGCCGGCCUGAGAGGGUGACCGGCCACAUUGGGACUGAGAUACGGCCCAGACUCCUACGGGAGGCAGCAGUGGGGAAUAUUGCACAAUGGGCGGAAGCCUGAUGCAGCAACGCCGCGUGCGGGAUGACGGUCUUCGGGUUGUAAACCGCUUUCGCCUGUGACGAAGCGUGGGUGACGGUAAUGGGUAAAGAAGCACCGGCUAACUACGUG
rnacentral:rRNA from 1 species